ensembl:snRNA U6 U6 spliceosomal RNA
CUGCUUCAGCAGCACAUAUAGUAAAAUUAGAAUGAUGCCAAGAAUAUUAGCAUGGCCCUUGUGCAAGGAUUUUUUGUUUUGUUUUUUGAGACGUAGUUUCGCUCU